rnacentral:rRNA from 1 species
AUUGAACGCUGGCGGCAUGCCUUACACAUGCAAGUCGAACGGUAACAGGUCUUCGGAUGCUGACGAGUGGCGAACGGGUGAGUAAUACAUCGGAACGUGCCCGAUCGUGGGGUAUAACGAGGCUAAAGCUUUGCUAAUACCGCAUACGAUCUACGGAUGAAAGCGGGGGAUCUUCGGACCUCGCGCGGACGGAGCGGCCGAUGGCAGAUUAGGUAGUUGGUGGGAUAAAAGCUUACCAAGCCGACGAUCUGUAGCUGGUCUGAGAGGAUGAUCAGCCACACUGGGACUGAGACACGGCCCAGACUCCUACGGGAGGCAGCAGUGGGGAAUUUUGGACAAUGGGCGAAAGCCUGAUCCAGCCAUGCCGCGUGCAGGAUGAAGGCCUUCGGGUUGUAAACUGCUUUUGUACGGAACGAAAAGCCUCUUUCUAAUAAAGAGGGGUCAUGACGGUACCGUAAGAAUAAGCACCGGCUAACUACGUG